GGCCUCUCUGCACCGAUCGGAGGCCGUGAACGCCUUCCUGACUGUCCGUCUUGCCUGUAGGAUUGUCUUCGGCUGGUGAAGAAGUGACGGGGGUGAAGGAGGUGAGGGGGAAUUGCCUGGUUCAGAUAUCGCUGGCGACUGACAUCGGCGUGGCUGGGAAUCGAACUCGGGUGGCAAAGGUGUUUUGCAUCAAUGAGCGAAGAUGUAACCGCCGGUAUGUAAUUAGCAUCCACUUAUCAAUCGACUGCUUGAUGAAGGCCCCCUGAUGAUGAUACUGUGUCGGCCAUGGUGAGAGUAGUUUUGACCAUAUUUCACCAACGUGGCCAGUGGGUUAGUGAAGUGGGUUGGUGAAGUGAGUUGGUGAAGUGAGUUGGUGACUUUGAUUGGUGAAUUGAGUUGGUGAAGUGGGUGAAGUGAGUUGGUGAAGUGAGUUGGUGACGUUGAUUGGUG